AGUGGCGAACGGGUGAGUAAUAUAUCGGAACGUGCCCAGUCGUGGGGGAUAACGUAGCGAAAGUUACGCUAAUACCGCAUACGAUCUACGGAUGAAAGCGGGGGAUCGCAAGACCUCGCGCGAUUGGAGCGGCCGAUAUCAGAUUAGGUAGUUGGUGGGGUAAAGGCUCACCAAGCCAACGAUCUGUAGCUGGUCUGAGAGGACGACCAGCCACACUGGAACUGAGACACGGUCCAGACUCCUACGGGAGGCAGCAGUGGGGAAUUUUGGACAAUGGACGCAAGUCUGAUCCAGCCAUUCCGCGUGCAGGAUGAAGGCCCUCGGGUUGUAAACUGCUUUUGUACGGAACGAAAAGGUUUCCAUUAAUACUGGGAGCUCAUGACGGUACCGUAAGAAUAAGCACCGGCUAACUACGUGCCAGCAGCCGCGGUAAUACGUAGGGUGCAAGCGUUAAUCGGAAUUACUGGGCGUAAAGCGUGCGCAGGCGGUUAUGUAAGACAGAGGUGAAAUCCCCGGGCUCAACCUGGGAACUGCCUUUGUGACUGCAUAGCUAGAGUACGGUAGAGGGGGAUGGAAUUCCGCGUGUAGCAGUGAAAUGCGUAGAUAUGCGGAGGAACACCGAUGGCGAAGGCAAUCCCCUGGACCUGUACUGACGCUCAUGCACGAAAGCGUGGGGAGCAAACAGGAUUAGAUACCCUGG
rnacentral:rRNA from 1 species